rnacentral:rRNA from 1 species
ACUGUCAUGCUAGCUCAACAACACCAAUUAAUAAACACCAACAAAAUUAAAACAUUCAACAGUCUUAGUACUGGAGAAAGAAAAGAUUCUUCCUGAAGCAAUAGAAAUAGUACCGCAAGGGAAUACUGAAAAAGAAAUUAAACAAACCAUAAAAGUACAAAAAAGCAUGGAUAAAUACCAGUACCUUUUGCAUCAUGGUCUAGUCAGUCUACACAUGGCAAAAAGACCUUAAGUCAACUUCCCCGAAACUAAAUGAGCUAUUUAAGAGCAGCAUCCAGUGCCAAUCCGUCUCUGUGGCAAAAGAGUGGAAAGACUUUUAAAUAGAGGCGACACACCUAACGAAUUUAGUGAUAGCUGGUUGCCCAACAAACGAGUUUUAGCCCAACCUUAAACCUUAUAUAAAUUAUACCUCAAUAAUAAUAAAAACUUAAGAGCAAUUCAACAGAGGAACAGCCCUGUUGAAAAAGAAUACAACCUACAACAACGGGUAAUGAUUAUACUUUAAAAGAUCGUUUUAAAAACCUUGUAGGCCCAAGAGCAGCCACCUAUAAAGACAGCGUCACAGCUCAAACAUACCGUUUAAUCAACAAAUACCAAUAAAUAACUCAAAACCCUAAAAACCAAGCGGGCCACACUAUAAACUAUAGCCAAACCUAUACUAGAACUAGUAAUAAGAAAACAUAAUUUUCUCUCCUGCAUCCAUGUAAACCAGAACGAACAACUCCCUGGAACUUACCGAUAAAACAUAAUAAAACAAUUAACUAGACUUAUUAUCUAAACUAACCGUUAACCCAACAUAGGAAUGCAAUAAGAAAGAUAAAAAGAUAAAAAAGGAAUUCAGCAAACUAAACGCUCCGCCUGUUUACCAAAAACAUCACCUCUAGCAAUAAACACAUAUUAGAGGCACUGCCUGCCCAAUGAAAUAAACCUUUUUAAUGGCCGCAGUAUCCUGACUGUGCAAAGGUAGCACAAUCACUUGUCUUUUAAAUAAAGACUAGUAUGAAUGGCAAGACGAGAACUUAACUGUCUCUUUUAUCAACUCAAUGAAACUGACUUUCUGGUACAAAGGCCGGAAUAUAAAAAUAAGACGAGAAGACCCCAUGGAACUUAAAACACGUAACCACUUUAUUUCACUAAAAACUAACAAAAUCCUGACGUACUGUUUUUGGUUGGGGCAACCACGGAGAAAAACUAUCCUCCGAGAACACAACUAAGUUAAACAUAACACAGUCCCAUUAAAAUGCUUUAUGACCCAAUAUAAUUGACCAACGAACCAAGCUACCCUAGGGAUAACAGCGCAAUCUUCUUUUAGAGUCCAUAUCAACAAGAAGGUUUACGACCUCGAUGUUGGAUCAGGAUACCCAGACAGUGCAGCAGCCGUCAAAGGUUUGUUUGUUCAACAAUUAAAAUCCUACGUGAUCUGAGUUCAGACCGGAGAAAUCCAGGUCAGUUUCUAUCUAUUUACUAGAUCUCUUUAAUACGUAAGGAAUAAGAGACUUGGACCAAUAAUAACAAUUAAGUCCUCAAAUAAAUAUGUGUAAACAACUAAACACUAACAACAAUUAUACCUCUAGACAUAGAGGGCAAG